UGGGGCUUGACGCGGAGAUGAGACUUCCGAGGGCUGGCCGCGUUUGUCGCUUGGACAGAUUGCAGGUUGGAGGUGAACAUGGCCUUGAGGUAACUCCUGUCCCUUCCUGAAGUUUAGUUUCAGCAAUUUGUGGUAAGAAAUCACAAUACUCACAGAAAAUGAAAGUUCGGUUUGCUUCUGUUCUUGACUGUGCCUUUGGUAGAAUAUGAGAAACAGUGUAAACAAACAUUCUUUAUGGUCGGUGACGGCGAUGCCUGAAAUUAGUCCUCAGCCUGGCUUAAGUUAAGCGGAUUUUAAAUGUCAAAGCCACUUCUAGACGUUUUCCUUGAUAAAAUAAAAUUUUGUUGAAUCCUCA